rnacentral:rRNA from 1 species
AGAGUUUGAUCCUGGCUCAGGACGAACGCUGGCGGCGUGCUUAACACAUGCAAGUCGAGCGGAAAGGCCCUUCGGGGUACUCGAGCGGCGAACGGGUGAGUAACACGUGAGUAACCUGCCCCCGACUCUGGGAUAAGCCCGGGAAACUGGGUCUAAUACCGGAUAUGACCACUUCCCGCAUGGGAUGGUGGUGGAAAGUUGUUUCGGUUGGGGAUGGACUCGCGGCCUAUCAGCUUGUUGGUGGGGUAACGGCCUACCAAGGCGACGACGGGUAGCCGGCCUGAGAGGGCGACCGGCCACACUGGGACUGAGACACGGCCCAGACUCCUACGGGAGGCAGCAGUGGGGAAUAUUGCGCAAUGGGCGAAAGCCUGACGCAGCGACGCCGCGUGGGGGAUGACGGCCUUCGGGUUGUAAACCUCUUUCAGCAGGGACGAAGUUGACGUGUACCUGCAGAAGAAGCGCCGGCUAACUACGUGCCAGCAGCCGCGGUA